ensembl:rRNA 5S_rRNA 5S ribosomal RNA
GUGUAUGGUCAUACCACUCAGAUCCCGGAAGCUAUGCAGGGUGGAACCUAGCCAGUACUUAGAUGGGAGAGGCCUGGGAAUAUUGGGUGCUGUAGACU